CCCCCCCCCCCCCCCCCCCCCCCCCCCCCCCCCCCCCCGCGACAGGCAGCGCAGCCCGGGGGUCCGGCCGAGCCCCGUGGCUGCCGUGCGCAGCUCCUCGGCCCUGAAGCUACUCUCAACCCAAACCUUCCUCACCCGCACCUCCUUUGGACCACACUUUCGGUCUGGUUUGUGUUUUAGGUGGGAUGAGAAGCACCGAGGGUCAGCGGGGUGCGCAUCCCGUUCUUGCUGGCUGGUUUCAAAUACCCAGGACGGGCCCCAUCACGAAGUCCGGAAGAUGAAAGGGGGGCGAGGCCCUCACCUGCUCUCAGCUGCUCCCUUUCUUGCAGCGCUGGUGGCGAAGGCAGAGUGCACGGUCUCCACCGUCGAGACUGAGGCCUGAUCUGUGGGAAAGUGGAUCUGGUUUAACUGUCCCUUGGCACGGCCCGGAGACUCCACUCCCUUGUUCACAGUGGCUUCCCCACCUGCAAAGGUAUUUCCCCUCCUUCCCCCGGCGACGGGCCGCACACCCUAUCGGAACCGAAUACCGGCUGCCAUGUGCCCGCAGCUCAGCGCGUCCCGACCAGCCUUCACCAUGAGAGUCCCGUCGAGCAGCGGCCGUUUGGUCUCUGCUCGCUGCCCCUUCCUGCGCUACAAAGCAUGCCCGAGAUGUGGAGGAGACAUUCAUGCAGAGGGUGUGCAGGAGAACGGCACUUCAGAAGAACUCUGUUCCCCGCCGCCAGUCUCCUCCGCCUGGAGGUGUACUGCGGGCAUCCGGCCCAGGAGCCACGCCGGCCCCUUCCCAGACGCCUGGCUCGGCUCGCCGCUCAGUCACCGGCACGACGGAAAACAACAAAGGCAAAGGCUGCGGGGUUGGGAAGGCACGCACGGGGAGCCCCUCGGCCAAACUCUCGAGCAGCCCGGCUGCCGCAGUGCGGGUGGCACCGGGGCUGUGCAGGGCUGCGCAGCGGAGCGCAGCCUCCGCGGCCUCGGCGGUGCUCCACCGAGCCCGCGCGUGUGAGCGGGGAGGCACCGGGCAGCGUCUCCGCGGGGAUCACCGCAGGAAGCCCACGGAAGAUGCACAGCGGACGAAGAUGUGCCCUCAGUGCAGCAGUGAGAGACACAGGGGCAUCCACUGCGCUCCGCGUCACGGAGAGACUUAUCGGCUAGGCACCGCAAUGCCCAAGGUGUAGAAAAACAUUUGGACUGGACCGAGCGAAGUGCGGAUUUUUUUGUUGUUUUUAUUUUCUUUUUUGUUUGUUUGGGUUUUUUUAAGCGCGGUGUGUAGUCAAUUUCAGAAUUUCUACCGCUGAGCUCAAUUCAGAAGGAAAUUUGUAGUUGUGGGGGUUUUAUUUUUCUAAUCAAAAUAAUUGAGCUUGCCCUUCCUCUAAGCCACAGGAGACCUGUUGAAUUGAUUCUGUUUCCCUUCUGCUGGUGCAGUAAAACGGCAUGCAGAAAUCUGCGGGCCCCCGUAUUUAGAUGAUUAUGCAAUUUAUGUUAGAAGCAAAAGGAUAAUUAGAUAAUUCAGCUGUUGCAUUAAUUCGUUUCUUAAGGCUGGGAAAGCCUUAUCUCUAAGGUUAAUCCGAAGGUAUUUCUGUCCCCUUCGUGAAAUAGGAAACCAUGUGAGAGCAUCGAAACACGUCUGAACGUUCAGGAGCAUGUUUCUCGCACCCGAUGAUAUCACCAUCCAGUGCCCGCACUGCGGUCAUCUCUCCUGCUAAAGCCCAGGCUUUGGCAAGUCCUUUAAAAUCCCGUGAAUGUCUCUUCAUACCGCAGUGGUCGUUGGACUGCUUCUUUAGUUUCAUUGCAGGGGAGUACAUGCACACCUAAAUAUACGAGAUAUAUUAAAUACA
rnacentral:lncRNA from 12 species